rnacentral:lncRNA from 1 species
UUUUAUUUAACCGCAUCUUAUCUGACUUGGUUACAUUAUCCUCAACCCCCAAUUGCCAAUCUCUACUUCUCUCCUUCCUCCUCCCAUCCCCUUCACCGUCAACCCAUGGCCACCAAGCAGAACCCAUGUCAUCUUCCAUUUUGCAAGAAAAGAAACAAAAUAGAAGGAAAAACUUCCUUCUGAUUAAACCAUUACAUUAGAAUUUAUUUGAGAGUAUUUAAUCUUCUCUUUCUUUCUCUUUUUCCUAUCUAGAAGAAACUCAUUCACCGUUUUACGUUAUUUUUAUGCAUAAAUUAAUCUUUCCUAUUAGAAAUAAAUUGGUUCAUCUGCUUUAGUAGCUCGAAAUAAAUUGGUUUAUCUG